rnacentral:misc_RNA from 1 species
AAAAAAAAAAAAAUCACAUGCACAAUUUUUUAGAAAGUUAUGGUAUUAAACAUUACUGUUAUUUCCUACAUCAACUGGGUAUUGGGGAAGAAUGUUUUAUAUGUGAUUUGGGCAAUCCUUCUCCCACUGAGUGGCUUUUGGGGUGGAGGUAGGUUCAGUUUGUUUUAUCAACAAUAACCUUUUAUGGAAAUGUAACUGCUCUGUGGUCAACAGUUCUUGAAGGAAAACCCACAUCAUAGCUAUGCUUAGAAAGAAUACAAUGGUUUUGAGAGUUUAAUAUUUUUUUGAAAAAUAAGAGGCCGAUAUUUUGGACAUGCAGCCAUGGAGUGCUGGUCCCUCCAUUCACAAAAUUAUUUUACUGUCAUUUCAUAUUUUAUUUUUCUUCUUGUUCUUAUGCUAGUACACUUCUGUAACCUGCAUGCCUCCUCCAUAUUUCUCUUUUUGGAUUCUACAUUAACUUGGAUAAUCGUCUCAUUUUCAUGAAUAACAGGCUUGUAUCAGUUGGGAAUUU